UACGUAGGGUGCGAGCGUUAAUCGGAAUUACUGGGCGUAAAGCGUGCGCAGGCGGCUUUGCAAGACAGAUGUGAAAUCCCCGGGCUCAACCUGGGAACUGCAUUUGUGACUGCAUGGCUGGAGUGCGGCAGAGGGGGAUGGAAUUCCGCGUGUAGCAGUGAAAUGCGUAGAUAUGCGGAGGAACGCCGAUGGCGAAGGCAAUCCCCUGGGCCUGCACUGACGCUCAUGCACGAAAGCGUGGGGAGCAAACAGG
rnacentral:rRNA from 1 species